rnacentral:lncRNA from 1 species
CCAUCUAUUGUUCCAAACAAGGCUUGUUAAAAAUGACACACCACCAAAAUAGUACCUUAAUUAAUAAUCUUAUGCCUAAUCUUAAAAUAAAAUCUUUCAUAUGUACAAAAAAUAUAAGUAGCACCAGAGACUUCUACAUUUUAUUAGUCAUUGUAGAGAAAACUCUCAUAUGGUGUCCCGGUAAGCACUUUUUGGACUUCAUCCCAGUUUUCAAUUUGCAUUGAUAAUGGGGCGGUAUGUAUCUUCACUUGACGACUCUCCAGUUCUCUGUAUGGCACCC